rnacentral:rRNA from 1 species
UACGUAGGGGGCGAGCGUUGUCCGGAUUUAUUGGGCGUAAAAGGCUUGUAGGUGGCCACGGCAAGUCGGAUGUGAAAUCUCCCGGCUCAACUGGGAGGGGUCAUUCGAUACUGCCGGGCUCGAGGCCGGUAGGGGGAAGCGGAAUUCCCGGUGUAGUGGUGGAAUGCGUAGAUAUCGGGAGGAACACCAGAGGCGAAGGCGGCUUUCUGGACCGGUCCUGACACUGAGGAGCGAAAGCGUGGGGAGCGAUCCGG